GAGGUGGCAAGCGUUGUCCGGAAUUAUUGGGGCGUAAAGCGCGCGCAGGCGGUCCUUUAAGUCUGAUGUGAAAGCCCACGGGCUCAACCGUGGAGGGUCAUUGGAAACUGGGGGGACAUGAGUACAGAAGAGGAAAGCGGAAUUCCAAGUGUAGCGGUGAAAUGCGUAGAGAUUUGGAGGAACACCAGUGGCGAAGGCGGCUUUCUGGUCUGUAACUGACGCUGAGGCGCGAAAGCGUGGGGAGCAAACAGGAUUAGAUACCCUGGUAGUCCACGCCGUAAACGAUGAGUGCUAAGUGUUAGGGGGUUUCCGCCCCUUAGUGCUGCAGCUAACGCAUUAAGCACUCCGCCUGGGGGAGUACGGCCGCAAAGGCUG
rnacentral:rRNA from 1 species